rnacentral:lncRNA from 1 species
ACAGGUAGGGUACGACAAACUAUUGGGAAUUUCGUUCGAUGACGACAAUCAAGAACGGGCCAUAGACGUACCCGAUAAUUUCGUAGAAAGAAAAAAGACAACUCCUAAGUACCCUUCUCCGAUAACUAUUAAGAGUGGGCUAAACGAUUCCACCGUGUGUCAAACCUCAUUAUUAUCCGAUAGUACCGCCGCAACGACGAAACCCGUACCGCCGCCCCGCGAUCACCUCAAGAUCGAAAAGGACGGUCGUCUAGUCAACAGGGCACCUGCUCCACAGUUACCCGCCAGAAUUACCAAUAACAAUAGCAUCACCCCUAGUAGUAAUGCCGCCCCGACCGCCACAACGCCAGUGUGCGCAGAGCCUACUCAAGAUCAGUUAGAUAGCAUUAAAA